rnacentral:rRNA from 1 species
CAAGUUUUUAAGGGCGCACGGUGGAUGCCUUGGCACCAGGAACCGAUGAAGGACGUGGGAGGCCACGAUAGUCCCCGGGGAGCCGUCAACCAGGCUUUGAUCCGGGGGUUUCCGAAUGGGGAAACCCGGCAGUCGUCAUGGGCUGUCACCCGCUGCUGAACACAUAGGCAGUGUGGAGGGAACGAGGGGAAGUGAAACAUCUCAGUACCCUCAGGAAGAGAAAACAACCGUGAUUCCGGGAGUAGUGGCGAGCGAAACCGGAUGAGGCCAAACCGUAUACGUGUGAGACCCGGCAGGGGUUGCGUGUACGGGGUUGUGGGAUCUCUCUUCUGUCGUCUGCCGGCGACAGGACGAGUCAGAAACCGUUGAUGUAGGCGAAGGACAUGCGAAAGGUCCGGCGUAGAGGGUAAGACCCCCGUAGUCGAAACAUCAGCGGCUCGUUUGAGAGACACCCAAGUAGCACGGGGCCCGAGAAAUCCCGUGUGAAUCUGGCGGGACCACCCGCUAAGCCUAAAUAUUCCCUGGUGACCGAUAGCGGAUAGUACCGUGAGGGAAUGGUGAAAAGUACCGCGGGAGCGGAGUGAAAUAGUACCUGAAACCGUGUGCCUACAAGCCGUGGGAGCGUCGGAUAUGUGCUUGCACAUAUCUCGUGACUGCGUGCCUUUUGAAGAAUGAGCCUGCGAGUUUGCGGUGUGUUGCGAGGUUAACCCGUGUGGGGAAGCCGUAGCGAAAGCGAGUCCGAAUAGGGCGAUUCAGUAGCACGCUCAAGACCCGAAGCGGAGUGAUCUAGCCAUGGGCAGGUUGAAGCGGAGGUAAGACUUCGUGGAGGACCGAACCCACCAGGGUUGAAAACCUGGGGGAUGACCUGUGGUUAGGGGUGAAAGGCCAAUCAAACUCCGUGAUAGCUGGUUCUCCCCGAAAUGCAUUUAGGUGCAGCGUCGUGUGUUUCUUGCCGGAGGUAGAGCACUGGAUAGGCGAUGGGCCCUACCGGGUUACUGACCUUAGCCAAACUCCGAAUGCCGGUAAGUGAGAGCACGGCAGUGAGACUGUGGGGGAUAAGCUCCAUGGUCGAGAGGGAAACAGCCCAGAGCAUCGACUAAGGCCCCUAAGCGUACGCUAAGUGGGAAAGGAUGUGGAGUCGCAGAGACAACCAGGAGGUUGGCUUAGAAGCAGCCACCCUUGAAAGAGUGCGUAAUAGCUCACUGGUCUAGUGAUUCCGCGCCGACAAUGUAGCGGGGCUCAAGCGUACCGCCGAAGUCGUGUCAUUGCAGCAAUAAGCCCCAACGGGUGCUGUGAUGGGUAGGGGAGCGUCGUGUGCCGGGUGAAGCAGCCGCGGAAGCGAGUUGUGGACGGUUCACGAGUGAGAAUGCAGGCAUGAGUAGCGAUACACACGUGAGAAACGUGUGCGCCGAUUGACUAAGGGUUCCUGGGUCAAGCUGAUCUGCCCAGGGUAAGUCGGGACCUAAGGCGAGGCCGACAGGCGUAGUCGAUGGAUAACCGGUUGAUAUUCCGGUACCCGCUGUGAAGCGUCAAACAUCGAGCAUCGUGAUGCUAAGGCCGUGAAGCCGUUCCGGACCCUUCGGGGAAAGGAAAGUGGUGGAGCCGCCGGCCCAAGCGGUUAGUAGGUGAGUGAUGGGGUGACGCAGGAAGGUAGUCCAGCCCAGGCGAUGGUAGUCCUGGGGUAAGGGUGUAGCCCGAGUGGUAGGCAAAUCCGCCACUCAUUAAGGGUGAGACCUGAUGCCGAGCCGAUUGUGGUGAAGUGGAUGAUCCUAUGCUGUCGAGAAAAGCCUCUAGCGAGUUUCAUGGCGGCCCGUACCCUAAACCGACUCAGGUGGUCAGGUAGAGAAUACCGAGGCGUUCGGGUGAACUAUGGUUAAGGAACUCGGCAAAAUGCCCCCGUAACUUCGGGAGAAGGGGGGCCAUCACUGGUGAUCCGAUUUACUCGGUGAGCUGGGGGUGGCCGCAGAGACCAGCGAGAAGCGACUGUUUACUAAAAACACAGGUCCGUGCGAAGCCGUAAGGCGAUGUAUACGGACUGACGCCUGCCCGGUGCUGGAACGUUAAGGGGACCGGUUAGCUCUGUUUCGACAGGGCGAAGCUGAGAACUUAAGCGCCAGUAAACGGCGGUGGUAACUAUAACCAUCCUAAGGUAGCGAAAUUCCUUGUCGGGUAAGUUCCGACCUGCACGAAUGGCGUAACGACUUCUCGACUGUCUCAACCAUAGGCCCGGUGAAAUUGCACUACGAGUAAAGAUGCUCGUUUCGCGCAGCAGGACGGAAAGACCCCGGGACCUUUACUACAGUUUGAUAUUGGUGUUCGGUUCGGCUUGUGUAGGAUAGCUGGGAGACUGUGAACUCUGGACGCCAGUUCAGGGGGAGUCGUCGUUGAAAUACCAGUCUGGUCGUGCUGGAUGUCUAACCUGGGUCCGUGAUCCGGAUCAGGGACAGUGUCUGAUGGGUAGUUUAACUGGGGCGGUUGCCUCCUAAAGAGUAACGGAGGCGCCCAAAGGUUCCCUCAGCCUGGUUGGCAAUCAGGUGUUGAGUGUAAGUGCACAAGGGAGCUUGACUGUGAGACCGACGGGUCGAGCAGGGACGAAAGUCGGGACUAGUGAUCCGGCGGUGGCUUGUGGAAGCGCCGUCGCUCAACGGAUAAAAGGUACCCCGGGGAUAACAGGCUGAUCUUCCCCAAGAGUCCAUAUCGACGGGAUGGUUUGGCACCUCGAUGUCGGCUCGUCGCAUCCUGGGGCUGGAGUCGGUCCCAAGGGUUGGGCUGUUCGCCCAUUAAAGCGGUACGCGAGCUGGGUUUAGAACGUCGUGAGACAGUUCGGUCCCUAUCCGCUGUGCGCGUAGGAAUAUUGAGAAGGGCUGUCCCUAGUACGAGAGGACCGGGACGGACGAACCUCUGGUGUGCCAGUUGUCCUGCCAAGGGCAUGGCUGGUUGGCUACGUUCGGGAGGGAUAACCGCUGAAAGCAUCUAAGCGGGAAGCCUGCUUCGAGAUGAGUAUUCCCACCUCCUUGAGAGGGUAAGGCUCCCAGUAGACGACUGGGUUGAUAGGCCAGAUAUGGAAGCCUGGUAACGGGUGAAGUUGACUGGUACUAAUAGGCCGAGGGCUUGUCC